GAGGAAGGGCUGCAGCACAGAGCAGGCUGCAAUCCCUUUGUGGGGAGUCAGGCAGGCAGGCAUGGGAUGUGGCCAGAAUCAUCGGUUGCUACAGGAUGGGCAAGGCUCAGCCCAAAUCCUCCCUCCUCCAGGAAACCCUCCUGCUGCCUCAGGGAAACGUCUCCCUCUUUCUGUGCCUACGUGCCUUUCUGUGCCUAUGUGCCUCUGUUAGAGCAGGAGUCACUGUGAGGAUGACGAUAACAGCGAUAAUAGCGUUCUGCUCCUGAGGCCGGUGUGUUGGAGUGGGAAGAGGCUGUCACACUGAGAUGAUCUCUGGGCAGAGAAACUGGACGGAGAAGGCCUGAGCUUCAGAAACAGCCCCUUCCCCAGCUUCAAGGUGGCCGUGCUCUGUUCUGAAAGAUGUCUGAUCUUUCCCGCCAAAGAAAUAAAAACAUUGUCGAAAA
rnacentral:lncRNA from 1 species